CGGCGUGCCUAACACAUGCAAGUCGAGCGAGAAUUUACAGAUUGAAGCUUCGGCAGAUUUCUGUAAAGGAAAGCGGCGGACGGGUGAGUAACGCGUGAGUAACCUGCCCUUUGGAGGGGGAUAACAUUGAGAAAUCAGUGCUAAUACCGCAUAAAGCAUAUUAACCGCAUGAUUGAUAUGCCAAAGGAGAAAUCCGCUUAAAGAUGGGCUCGCGGCUGAUUAGUUAGUUGGUGGGGUAAUGGCCUACCAAGACGAUGAUCAGUAGCCGAGCUGAGAGGCACAACGGCCACAUUGGGACUGAGAUACGGCCCAGACUCCUACGGGAGGCAGCAGUGGGGAAUAUUGGGCAAUGGGGGAAACCCUGACCCAGCAACGCCGCGUGAAGGAAGAAGGCCUUCGGGUUGUAAACUUCUUUUAGUAGGGACGAAGAACGUGACGGUACCUACAGAAAAAGCAACGGCUAACUACGUG
rnacentral:rRNA from 1 species